rnacentral:rRNA from 1 species
UACGGGGGGGGCAAGCGUUGUUCGGAAUUACUGGGCGUAAAGGGCUCGUAGGUGGCCAACUAAGUCAGACGUGAAAUCCCUCGGCUUAACCGGGGAACUGCGUCUGAUACUGGAUGGCUUGAGGUUGGGAGAGGGAUGCGGAAUUCCAGGUGUAGCGGUGAAAUGCGUAGAUAUCUGGAGGAACACCGGUGGCGAAGGCGGCAUCCUGGACCAAUUCUGACGCUGAGGAGCGAAAGCCAGGGGAGCAAGCGGG